UUUCAUAGGGAUGAAGAACUCAAUUCCCAGGAGACAGCACAAAAAGAAGGUUACCAAAACAAAAACUUAUUAGAAAAAAGAGGGCUAUCAAUUGGUAGGGAUCUUUCUUCAUUAGGAGGUUCUUUGGGUGAUGUCCUUUUUUUUUGGGGUUCUCGAAACUUAUUUUCAUGAUUUUCUAGGAUCCAAUGUGUAUGGAUAAGUGGUUUUUUAUUUAUCGUUGUACACGAAAAAAAAAAAAUUACCCUCAUUUAGUGUAUUGCUUGCAUUCAAUGGG
rnacentral:misc_RNA from 1 species